UGUUUGGGCAAAGUUGCUUAUGGUUCUGUCUCCCAGAGAAAGGAGCGUCCCAAAGCCGGGAGGGGCACCUGAGGUGACCCGAGACACCCUGAGCAGAGCGGGUGUGUCCCUCCAGCCACUGGAGACGUCCCCUUUGUUUCCCUGCACCUGGGGGCUUGAAAUGUCGAGGCCACAGUGCUUCGUGUGACCCUGGAGUCGUGCAGACCCCUUCCACCCCCGCCGUGUCCCCCCAACUAGGGCACAGGGAAGCAUCCAGAAAGAAGGGGACCCACAUGUCCUGGAACCCAGACACCUUCCUCCCAGCCCUUAUGGUCACAAGCAGUUAAAUUAGCGCACAUUUAUUGCGGGAAUUUGAAUCUGUCCCUGGCUACGGUCUUUGCCUGUGGGGCCUGGCCUGGGUCUUUCCCAGGACACUGCCAGUCCUCACGUGUCUCAUGUCGCAGGGAACCUGGACAGCAAUGGCUGUGAUCAUUUCACUUCUCCAGCCUGGAAAUCUCCUUUGCACCUAGGCACUCAGCUCCCAGGAGCAGAGGAGGGGGCGGAGGGAUGGAUGAAGGAGUGGUGUAGGGCACACAGAGGUGCAGUUUUCCGUCUGGGGAGCAGGGAAGGGUGUCCCAGAGGAGGUGACAUUCAGACGGGGUCCCUGAGGCUGAGUUGUUUCAGGAGGGAUUGCAUUUGCCUCCUCAGCAAUUGCUCUUGUUCUUGGUAGUACCCUAGUUUUUACUUUAUACUCACUUCUCCCUCUUAGCCACAUACGGGGGUGGGGGGGAGCUGAUUCCAGAGAGAGGGAGAGAGAGAGUGAGCGAGAAGGAGGGCAUGUGGAUGUGGUUUAGGGCUUAGGCUGAAAUGAAUCAGUGUGUUGCCAUCCCUAGGCCAGAGUUUCAGAAGUGCAGUAUGACAAAGAAAAUAAUUUUCUUGGUCCUCUAAAAGAGUCCCUGAAGCAAAGGAAUUCACUCUGUCUCUUCCUUCCUACCUUCUCCUUGGCUCCCCCAGGCUGGAGCAAGGGAUCUCACAGGCUUGAAUGUUGACUCAGGAUGGAGUGGACAAGGGGAUCGGGCCUGGAUUCAGGCAGACACUGGAUGAGGUGUGCAGGGGCCGAGGCCACAAGGACCUUGUGGAGCCCCAACUUCAGCCAUGCUGUAAGCCGAUCCUGUGAGCACUUUCCAGUUCCAGAUCAGUCCAAGCCACCUUGAGUCAGGAAGCUUGAGCCCUGGAGCAUGAUGAUGGGUAACAGCCAUCUGGUGGGCUGCCACCCACUUCUCUGCCUUGCUGGAGGUCACGCUGUCCCCAGUGCUGCCCAAACCCCACAGGCAUCGGAAAUGACCCAGAGCUUCGUGAAGGCUGCAGAUCCCCCAGCUCAUACUUGGGCACCUCCUGUGCCCCAUGCUCUGCAAGAAGCCUUUGAGGGAGGAGCUAGGGACAGAGCCCAGCAGGUGAUGUUUAUUUGGAGCUUUCCACUUUGGGCUCUUAUGAAUAACCCUGCUAUGAACAUUUGCGUAAGAGUUUUUGUGUGAACAUCUGCUUCCAAUUCUCGUGGAGAAUCACGUUUAUCCCAGUAGCUAGCAUGCAUUACCCCGGCUACUCUCUACUUCAAAGUCCAGUCUGGUGAAGCCGGGAAGGUAACCCUGUUCUUCUGGACCCUCUGCUGAGCCCAGUCUUAUUCCCAUUGCUGAGGAUGAGAGACUGAUAUUUCUCAUGCAACCAAGCCCUGCACACAACCUCCACUGAACCCAGGAUGUUACUCUGUGAUCUCCAUUUCUCAAGCCACAAGUAUGUCCAGCAUUCGCAGUAAAGAUAUCAAGGAAGGCAGCCUCCCCACACACAGGCACGCAGGAAGGAGAGGAAAACAGCCCUUGGAAGGAAAAGUGUGUCAAAGGGUUAAAUGCCAAGGAGGCAAGUCCUAGGAUUUUGCAGGAGUGAAGGAGUGAUAAAGAGGCCCCUGAACAGAGCAGGAACUGUAAGAGGGAGGCAGCAGAGAGAGCAAAAACAAUCUGCAGGUCCUGCCUCUCCAUCCAGCUGCGAGCUGCUCCUAGCCUUCUGCAUGACGUCUUCAGCAGGAAGGGUGUGCAGGGAUUUCUGAACAUCCCGAGUUGCAUAACUGAUCCUAGAAGUAGAAGAGAAAUGAGAGCACAGCCUAAGACAAACCAUAAAAAACGCACAUGACAGCAUGACCUGUAAUGAAACCACUAUCUAAUCGUUGUCUCCAGCCAGAUUUGCAGGUCAACCUCCCUAAACCAGUGGCCAGAAAAAGGACCGCACCUCCCUCUACCUUCCCUUCUGCCACAGGGUGGAGAUGCUGGCCUUGUCCCUUUCAUCAAAUGCCUGCCAGCCUGGGGCAGCCACCAGCGAGCGCCUGCUUGGGGACAGCUCUGCGGUCCGCAAUGUUUCUGCAGAGGGCACUUCCGGCUCUCCCCAGGAGGUCAGCCCAGCCUGCCCCAGCUGCUGCUGCUUAGCCUCAAGCACGGACUGGAAAUAAACAGCUCCCAGGCAAUCUGCAGCUGGGGCAGAGGCUGAGGGUGGUGUUGCAGGGAGGUAUGGGGAAUGGGAAUGUUUUAGUUGAUGUUUGGAUAAGGUGCUUCUGUGACCAUUUUUUUCUCUGCUGAGUGUUAGUGAGAAAAAGAUGGGCACAAGUGUUGGACCUGAGGUUUCCUGAGAACUUCCGCCCAGGGAGACCAAAACUCAGGCACGAUGAGCAGGAUAAUUGCAAGAGACACAGAGAUAACUUGGUCCUUGGUCGUUGUGAAUGGCUGAGGUGCCUGAGGUUGCUCAUGAGGCUGUAGGUAGGAAGUAGAGUGGUUUAAAGUGGGCAUUGGGGUUCUGGCUUAGAACCCCAGCCUCACCCCUCCCCAGCUGGAUGAUUUGCUAUUUAUAAUCAUUUCACCACCACCUAUAAAAUGAAAACAAAACAGCAGGCCCUUAUGGAACACUGUCAGUCUAAGCCAGUGCCAAACACAGUACUAACUAAGGUCUUAGCAUAUGUUAGAACAGUCACUGAGUUGUUGAAGAAAUUGGUGCUAUUAUUAUUGCCAUUUUACAGACAAAACUGAGGCACAUAAGAGAGCAUUGCUGCUGGAGGACUCACUGCUGGUACAUGGUGGGGCCUGGGAUGACCUCAGGCAGUCUGCCCGUAGUGCCCUUGACCACCCUGUCCCUGCGGUUGCUGUGAACAACAGAUGAAAUGCAGCUUAUAAAGGACUUGGCGCCGUGCCUGCCCCAUGGCCAGCUCUCAAUAAAUGUUAGCUUUUAUUAUUAAGAACACACGAAGCAGCACAAAACAGACCAGGCAAGCUACUCACAUAGUUUGAGAUCCUUAACAAUGCCUGGUGUUUGUUUGGCUCUGUGUAGAAUUCAAAGCGCUCUACCAGUGAGGCCUCCUAUAACCUCGCUGCUGCCCCUGAGGGCAGAGGGGCAGUGUGGAAUGCACACAAGAAGGGCAGUUUCUGCAUAAGGUCCUACGCUGGCUCUCUGGUCAUCUAUUCCCAGGGAGUGUGCAGGGACACCUGGGAGCCUGAAUGGCAUGGUGUGUGAGCUGAGAAGAUGCUGAAGAGCCACCAGUAUAUGACCUUUUACCAUGUUAACUCAGAUUCUAUUUACAUAAACAUUUUAUACUCGUCUCUAUAAACUGUGAUACAACAGUUUCUUGAUUCUUUAUUCUUUUUACCUUUUUGUAAUGGAAGUCUAAAGGGAUUACAACAAACGCAGAUUACAAACUCAUAAAAUCACCUUAAAAAGUAAAAAUAGUGGACCAAGUGUUAAACAAUAGAACCUACUGUUUGAACAGCAGUUUCCAGUUUAUGAAUAAGUAUGAUCUCAUUUCAACCUCAUGACAAUUCAUUACUGGACAUAACUGUGCCGUAAAACUCGAGUUUAGGGGAGCUACUCUAAUAGGGAAUAGUAUGGCUACAACCCAGUCUGCCCUUAAUGAAUUUUGCCUGAGUUUUCUUUUUGGCUACCAAAAGAGUUUGUGUUAGUGUCUCCUAUUGUGACUCAGUAAAAGACUGAAUAUAGAAUGAGUGGUUUCGCUCUUUCUUUUUUCUAUUUCUCUCCUUCCCUCCCCUUCCUUCUCCUUCCCUUCUCCUUCCCUUCCCCAUAUUUGGACUUUUCUGGACUCUGUCCUAUACACCUGUGAUGGUUAAUUUUAGGUGUCAGCUUGUCUGAAGAAAGGGACACCCAGACAGUUGGUAAAGUUUUAUUUCUGGGAGGAAUGGUUGGUUUCAAAUUUCAAGUCUCAUACUUAACAUUUCUGUGACUUUGGCCAAGUUACUGACACCUUGGUGUUUCAGAAUUCUCA
ensembl:lncRNA